UUAUUUAAGAGAGUAAAUGGAAUUUUUCUGUAAUGGUGGUAUGUGUAAAUAGGAAAAAGAACUUUAGACGUGAAGACUAUUUACUUCUAAGAUUAUAAUGUGUUGGCUAAAACACGAGAGUGUGGGGAGCAAACAGGAUUAGGUACCCUGGUAGUCCAUACUGUAAAUAAUGAAAAAGACGUGAAGCAAUUCUAAACGGUAAGAACUUUUCCGCUUGAGUAGUACGGUCGCAAGAUUAAAAUUCAAAAAACUUGGCUGUUCACUGUUUUGAUUAGAGGAGCGUGUCGUUUAAUUCGAUAGUCCGCGAGAGACCUUACCCAAACUUGAAUCCCUCAUUGACAGGUAUUGCAUGGCCGUCGUCAAUUUGUGUAUUAAACAUAAAACAAAUUCAACCCAGUGGUUUGUCUAUUGGAUGAAGUCAGGUCUUAUUGUCCUAAUGUUUGGGGAUUAGAUGCGCUACAUUUUUUUAUACAAUGGGAAACUUUGGAUGUGAGACCCCAAAAUAAGAGUUCGGAAGGUGCUUGGAAUAUAACGGAAAGUUGGAUUUAAUAGUAAUUGAAAAGUAGAGCGUUUCAAUGAAAUUUAUUCAGUGUUAGUACAAAUUGCCCGUCGCCUUUGCUUAGAAAGGUUGUUUGGUUGCCCCUCAAGAGGGUUCCUAAUAUCUUCGAGGUAGAGUAAGUCGUAA
rnacentral:rRNA from 1 species